rnacentral:lncRNA from 1 species
GACACUUUCAAUAUGGUUAGUUUGUCUAAAGUAUAUAUACACACAGAGGCGGUAAAGAAUAAUAAGUACAAUUAAAGGAUAGGGAAAGGAGAACUGGACUCUCGCUAUGGGCCUGCAAAUGUUCAAGCCCAACAUAAUGUACACGAAUAGUGGCCUCGAUAGGAACGUGAUGACGUAUAUCUGAAAGUGGACUUGAGCUCCAAAUGGGCUCAGCAGGCCCAAAUUGAAUUCAUGCACACAAAAAAAAUAAAAUAACUAAUGUAUAUCAAUUGCAAAAGCUAAGUAAGAUAAAGAGUAUAACAAAUGGUAAUAAAGAGCAAAAGAAUGUCGUGAGGCAGAUUUUAUAUAUUCUAAUCUUAUGAGGAUUAAUAAGAGUUAGUGACUAAAAGCUUGGUGUAAAUCCUCUCUUAUUGAUAUAAUCUCCCUUUUGAGCUCCUUGUACUUCAGAGUUCAUGAGGGUCUCACGGACCCCGAACAGUGCUUUUGUCAAGGAGAGAGAGAAUAACCACAAUGAAUUUUUACAUCUAAUUACCCUUAACCACAUUAUAUUAAUCUUCUUCAGAGGUUUAAACAUAAACAAAAGAAUCAACAGAGUAACUUUAUACUGCUAAGAUACAAAAAGUAGUUACAAGAGUCAUGGUAAACCCUUUAAAGGUUCAAAUACAUAAGAAACUCAACAACUAUGAACAAAUGGGAUGUUGUAAUUCAUUUCAAAGCACAAAAGUAGCCAAGGGCACGAUAUUGACUUAAGAGGAAUCAUAUCAGAGUCAUGAGAUCACUUUGAAGACAUAGUCAAGCAAGAAAACAAAGUGCAGGCAAGAGACAUGUUUCACUUCUCAUAGAGUUUAGACGCAUAAGUGUUACAGUAAAGUAUCACACAGAGAUGAGCAUAAGAGUAUGUUAUAUUGGCUUCACUAUAGGUUUAAUCUUCCAUAACUCUUCUAAGUGAGUUCAGAUCAUAGGGAUUGUUCACAGGUGUUUCUAAAGUCUCAGCAUAGUUAACAUCAAGCCUAUACCUUAUCAUUUUGACACCUAAGCUGAUUAUUCUAAUCAGAAUUCCUAAGGGGCAUGCCAAUUAGUCAGGGAAACAAAGUCAUUAAAUAGGAAAGAAUUGAUCUUACUCUUACUCAAUACUGACAGACUGAUUAUACAACACAUAUAUCAUCAAAAUUUCUAACUAUCAGACUUAAACAAAUUCAGGGUGAGUCCCUACGGGAGAUGGCACUAUCAGAUAUAAGGAAAUAGGUAAUAACAUCCAUUUUAAGGCAAACAUGUCAUAAUGAACUGACACUUGAAUAUAUAGGCAACUAGUAUGGUAUGUAAAUCAAACUCAAUACAUGAUUUUAAUUUAAGCUAAUAUGACAAACAUAUAGGAAUCAGGAUAGCAGAAAGUCACAACUAAGUCUAACAAUUAAAGUCAUGAGAGCAUAUCAUCACUAGCAAUGGGAAUAGAUCCCUUAGUGGGAAAUAUUCACAUACUCAAACCAAGUAAAGCACCAUAGCAACCAAGGCAAGUAAAGGUUAGCACAUAGGUGCAAAUAUAUAGUCUCUCAAACUGAAGUCAAAAAAUAGUUUAUUAGCAUAGCAAGGAUUAAUAUGAGAGAGGUAAGCUCAUGUGUAAAGGUCAUUAAUGUAAUGGCAAGAGUCUCACAAAAGCUCAAACAGUCAUGAGAGGGUGAGUAUUAAUCUCAUACUAAGGAUCAAUAGAGAACAAUCUUCCUAACACACUUAGCAAGGUUCAGCACGUACUUUCUUGACUUCUCACACCAUCACAAAGAACGCACAAGAAUCAUUCUGUUACUACUACAUAUGCAGUAUACUAAUUAGAGUCAAACAAAUUAAUAUGAAGUUGGGAACUAAACCAAAUAGCAGAACAUUACAUGUAUCGGGAUGGCAUAAUGAAACAAGUAAUGACAGCAUACAGAUGAUUCUUUGAAACUUGAUUUUAUCCCAACCUCUUCUGCAGGGCAGAAAACCAAGUAGUAGAUGUUCAACAGUGAUUUAGGAAUCCAAACUCAUGACCAGUAUAACAGUUGAACUCAAACCGGAGAAGAGAAAGAAAAUAGAAAAAUCAGAGAGUACUUACUGAGAAAUUCUUAAACUUCAACUCUUUUCUUUCUUUCUUUUGUGUUUCGGAUAGUAUUCAAUUUGUCUUAGGUGAAUACAUUGAAUUCCCUUUUUUAUAGUGGCAUACGAGACUUAGUGUCCCGCUCAGAUUCAAAAUAGUGACUGGAAAGUGCCUAUAUCCAGAUGAUGAUAGUAAUAGAGGUGAAAUCAGUAAAGAACAGAGGGAAAAAUAUCUUAGAAAUUACUUGGGCACGAGGGGAUGACCGUUAAAGCUUUUGGACUGGUGGUCAAACCGUAAUAUCAGAGGUCACUACGUUUGACCUAUGGAUAAAUAAUAACAUUGAUUAAACAAGAGACAAGCAGCCAUGCAUGCUCUGGAUUUGAAAGAACAUGGGAGGUUUGAUGGGUUUUCAAGUUUCACGAUUUAGGUCCAGGUUUUAAUUUGGGGAUUUUGAAUUUCGGUGAUGAUAAUGGAAAUAUUCCACCUGGAUUCGCGGCAUAGGGGACAGACUGGGUGAUUUGAAGUUGAUUCUUGUCACCUUGCACAAAUUUGUGCAAGGUCUUUGAGGAUUGAUGGGCUGAUGGAUGAGGGAAAGGAGAGAGGAAAGGGAAAUGGAGGCGGUUAGGUGGUGAGAGAAUGAUAGGGUUUAGGGGUGUUUGGUAGGUUUAAUAAAAUUUUUAUUAUGGGAAAAAAUAUACUUCCGUUGGAUCUCUGUAAUCCAAAGGUGGAGAUGAGGUCUGGCAUAUAUUUUAAAAUAAAGGAAUAAAUGGGGAUUAAUGUGGACCCUUGAUGAUCUGGGCCAGAAGUCCAGAUUCUUGUGUUUGUUUUGUGAGUGUGGGAAAUAGGCGACGUGGCACGAUGCUAUUGGCUCAGAGACUCAGAGGAAGUGGCACAGAUUGCCAACAUGGAAUAGAAACAGUGAGUCUGGACUGGGUCAGGGUGUUUGGGCUCGUGUAUUUGGGCCAAAAUAUCUUAAAUAAAGUUUAACAAUUGGCCACAUUGAGUUUAAUUGAUUAAUUACAAUUGUAGCCUUUUGAGCAUUUAACCCCUUUUUAAAAUCAACUUAAUUAUGCUUAAUUUAUCAUAAUUAAAUGCAAUAAAAUAUAAUAAUCAAAUAUAUUACUAAUUGCUAUAAUUAAUUAGUUAUUGUUAUAAUAUUUUAUUAAUUGAAUUAUGAAACUACUUUGGUUAAUUAAAGUAAAUAAGGAAAUAUAAUUAUAAAUUUAAGACUAAUUCAUUAAAUUAAUUAUAAAACUUGUUUAUUAAAAUAUAAUGGUUAUUUUAAUAGUUCAAAACAGUAAGAGUAGUAUAAUUUAUAAAUAUUUAAUAUCAAAUUACUUUUAAUUCAAUAAUAUUAAUUAUUAUUAUCUAUUGUAUUUUAGAAAAAUAGGUAUUAUUGAUUAGAAAAUAUUUAACCAUAUUUAUUGCCAAUUAAUAAUCAUAAAUAAUUUAGAGACUAGACUCUACGUAGGUUCUCUACGUAUCCCAUCGUGGGAAGGUAGGUCAGGUGUAGUUCUGUUACAACAAAACCCUAACUCUAUUGUCUUCAAAUGUGUUAUCUCUUGAUUGCGUCUGAAUUGAUUGGCUUCGUGCUGAAUUUGCCGUCCAUUUCUACUAGGAUUUGUGCACCUCCCAUUUCUUAAUCGAUGGCCUUCGUGCUGACUUUGCCUCCACUUAAUGGGGGAAAUAUCUUCUUCAAAACCAACUGACCCGAUGUGAAUUGCCGAGGUUUCAAUUUUCUGUUGAACGCGUUGGCCAUCCUAUUUUGAUACAGAUGACCAUGAUAAAUCCUUCCAUUCUCUUUUCAUCAAUGAGCAUAAGUUGUUCUUGCCUGAAACAUAUCCAUUCUGCAUCAUCUAGCUUGGCUUCCUGGAUAACUCUCAAAUAUGGUAUCUCGACCUCUCCAGAUAUCACAACUUCUAUGCCAUUUACCAACAAGUAUGGUUUUUCCCCAGUAGAUGUUCUUAUGGUAGUGUGGUAACCCGGUAAGGCAAAGGAUAGCUUUUCGUACCAUUGCAUGUGAUUGUCCACUUAUCUUUUUAAAGAUUCUAUAGAUGUUUUUGGUGGUUGCUUAAACUGCUUCAUUCAUUUGUGGCCUAUAGGCUAUGGAGUUGCGGUGGACAAUUAUGAACUUCUAGAAAAUCUCCCUCAUGAGAUUGCUAUUGAGAUUGGCUGCACUGUGAAUUAUGAUUGACUCUGGAAUCCCCAAUAGACAGACUGUGUUUUUACGGUCGAAAUCUGACACCACCUUCUUCGUGAUAGCCUUGUAUGUAGAAACUUUGACCCAUUUUGUGAAGUAGUCGAUGGCUACCAAGAUUAAAUGAUGCACGUUCGAUGCAACAGGUUCUAUAGGUCCAAUCAAAUCUAUGCCCCAAGUGGCAAAUGGUCAAGGAGAGCCUAUUCCAUUUAACUCAUUCGGUAGAACUCGGAUGAAAUCCCCGGGAAUCUGACACUGUGAUACAUAUGCACGUAGCGGAUGCUAUCACUUUCCAUGGUCAUCCAAAAGAAUUCGGCUCUCAAAAUCUUCUUAGCUAAGGUGAAACCAUUCAUGUGAGACCCGAACAUUCCUGUAUGUAUUUUCUCCAAUAAUCUUGUUGCUUCAGCAUCAUCCACACCCCUUAACAGACCCAAAUUCGGGGUCCUCCUAUACAGAACUUCCAUGUUAAGGAAAAAGUGAUUUGCUGGUCUUCUUAAGGCUCAUUUAUGACCAUUAGUGUUAUUUUCUUGGUACUUUCUUGUUUCAAAAAACCUUUGAUGUCUUGGUACCAAGGCCUACUAUCUGGAUCUUCAUCUACCUGGAAAUAGUAUGCAUUCUAAUCUCGAGCCUCUAUCUCGAUAGGGUUGAUGUAAUUCUUGUAUGGGUGCAGGAUCAUGGAUGACAAAGUUGCGAGAGCAUCGACGAACUCAUUAUAGAUUCUAGGCACAUGUUUGAACUUGAUCUUGGUGAAAUUCUUACACAACUCCUUCAUGCAAUACAAGUAUGGAAGGAUCUUGACAUUCUUGGUGGUCCACUCACCCUGAACUUGAUGUAUCAACAAAUCAGAAUCUCCUAUCACCAAAAGCUCUUUAAUGUUCACGUCGACUGCAAUCCUAAUCCUUAGGAUUCAUGCCUAAUAUCCUGCCAUAUUACUUGUUCAAUGUAACCUUAUCUUAGCUGAAGCAGGAUAAUGUUGUCCCGACUUCGAAAUUAGGACUGCCCCAAUUCCCACUCCCUUGAAAUUUGCUGCCCCAUUGAAAAGCAUUCUCCACCCUGGAUAUGAAUCUGAAAUAUCCUCCCUAGUGAACAACACUUCUUCAUCUGGGAAGUAAGUGCUAAGUGGCUUAUAAUCCUUGUCCACCAGGUUUUCUGCAAGAUGAUCAACGAACGCUCGUCCUUUGAUAGCUUUCUGCAUCACAUACACAAUAUCGAAUUCACUGAAAAGAAUCUGCCAUUUGGCCAAUUUUCCCAUAGGCAUCGGCUUCUUGAAGAUGUACUUGAGCGGGUCGAUUCAGGAGAUUAAAUAUAUGCUAUAUGCCAAUAGGUAAUGUCUUAACUUCUGAAUGAUCUAGGUCAAAGCGCAACAGGUCCGCUCUAACAAUGUGUAUCUGGCUUCAUAUCGUGUGAACUUCUUGUUUAAGUAAUAGAUAGCUUGCUCCUUCUUUCUAGUCUUAUGAUGUUGUCCCAACAUGCAUCCAAAUGCAUUAUUCAAGACUAACAUGUAUAGCAGCAGAGACUUCCCAGGUUCAGGAGGAAUUAACACAAACGGACUCGACAAAUACUCUUUGAUUCUAUUGAAAGCUUUUUGACAUUCCUCUUUCCACUUUGUAGAGGCAUCUUUAUUUAACAACUUAAAAAUCGGCUCACAGAUUACUAUUGACUAGGCUAUGAACCUGCUGAUGUAGUUCAAUGUUCUAAGGAAUCUCAUCACACCCUUCUUACUUUUGGGUAGAGACAAGUCUUGAAUUGCCUUGAUCUAUGAGGGGUCUAGUUCUAUCCCUUUUCUGCUGACGAUGAAGCCUAACAGUUUUCCUAUGGGGACUCCAACACAUAUUUUGCAGAAUUCAACUUCAAACUGUACCUUUACAAUCAGUCAAAGAACUUCCUUAAGUCGUUCAAAUGAUAUGCACUCUUUCAUGACUUGAUGAUGAUGCCAUCCACAUAUACCUCGAUCUAUUUGUGGAAGAUGUCGUGAAAGAGGUUUGCCAUGGCCCUCAUGUAGGUAGCACCGGCAUUCUUGAGAUCGAACAACAUGACCCUAUAGCAAUAUACUCCCCAUGGUAUGGUGAAUGCUUUCUUUUCUGCAUCUUCUUUGUGCAUCUAAAUCUGGUGGUAUCCAGGAAACAAUUCACGAACGAUUGUAACUUAUGUUUCGCGCACUUUUCGCUAAGGAUAUGGAUAUUCUAAAGAGGAAAGUCAUCCUUGGGACUGGCUUUGUUGAGAUAUUGGUAGUCCACGCAUAUCCUAAUCUUUCCUUCUUUCUUCGAUACCGGUACGACGUUUUCCAACCAUGUAGGGUAAUUGGUGACCCUCACCACAUUUGCUUUUAUCUUGUUAGUGACUUCUUCUUUGAUUUUUAGAUUCAAAUCUGGUUUGAAUUUUUUGGGUUUCUGUUUGGUUGUUGGCCCAGCGGGAUCAGUGGGCAACCAGUGCGAGAUGAUGUCAGUACUUAAAUUGGGCAUGUCGUCAUAUGACCAAGCGAAUACAUUGAUGUAUUGUCCGUAGAGCUCUUCCAAGUCUUCCUUCUGUUCUGCUUUCAAGUGGAUGCUGAUUCGAGUCUCUUUCACAUCUUCUUCACUUCGAAAGUCAAUCACUUAUGUUUCUUCAUGAUUGGGCUUUUUCUGGCUUUCUAGCUGCUCAGUCUCUUGCAGGUGGUUCUUAGGCAUCAUACUGUCAUCGUACUCUUCAUAGUCCAAAUCAUUUUGCUCACCGGUUUCGUUAGAUGUCAAAAUCGUGGAAUGCGAGUUUUUAUUGAUUUGAUUACUAAAAAGAUAAAUUGAGUAUAGAUAAAGAUAAAGAUGAAUUUGCGAUGAUUUCAUGAAAGUAAUUUUUUAUUUAACCAAAAAGAACGUCUCAGUAUAUAAAGAGGCAAUUUAACAAAAAGGUACAAGCAUGGUUCAGGACUCAAUUGACCAUGCGCUUUUUCAAAAUUACUACAAUUCCAUACUACCAAGACUCCCGCCGAACCAGAGACAGGUGGUCCAGUUUUUCAAUGUCUCUCUAGGUUUGGCAUUUUGAAUAGUCGGUGUCUUGAUAUCAUCUUCGUCGCAACAUUCCUCGAUCAUGGCUACAAAAAAUCUUCCCAUGCAAUCAUUGAUAUAAUCAUCUGGUGGUGAGCUCUGACCGGGUCCUGGAAUAUGCUCUGGUACCAAAACCUUCUUCCUAGGGUUAUCGUUGUAUGUUCUUCCAGUUAUAGGCUGAUACCUCAAGCCGGUGGUACUUUUCUGCCCAUUCGAUUCAAUUGGCUCUGCUAUCCCAUCUGAUCGGUCUCCUAGCCCAUUCCCUGGUCGGUAUCCAUAUUUCAUCAUUUCCUACAUUGCCAUCUUUAACCUAUAGUGUUACUGCAUGCUGUGAUUCUACUCAUUCUUCUACAUUUAUGUUGCUUGCAUGAUCUUGAUUGCAUGGAUGGCGACCCCAUCUAAUCCUUCUAUGAAAGGAACUGCAUUCUCCAAGUAAGCUGACCGGCUUCACUCCCCAUGUAUCCCAAUCUCCUGGAAAUCCCACUCAAAUUUCAUACACUUAUGGAGAAUGGAUGGAACUGCCCCUGCCAUGUGUAUCCAGGGCCUUCCUAAUAGUAGAUUGUAUGAAGACAAAAUGUCCAUCACUUGAAACAAUAUUGGAAACUCAACUAGGCAAAUUUUCAAGGCUAAGUAGAUAUCUCUGAUGACAUCCUUCUGUGACCUAUCGAAAGCCCUUACUGUUACAUGGCUCUCUUUCACUUCCCUCAAAUGAAUGCCCAAUUCUCACAGAGUAGAGAACCAGAAAAUAUUUACUCCGGAUCCUCUGUCGAUAAAGCACACAUGAUACAACUUUGUCCCCACAUUUGACUGUGAUGUGCAGAGCCUUGUUUUGGUCCAUAACCUCCAUAGGAAGUUCAUCUCAUCGAAAGGAAAUCUUGUUUUCUUUGACCAUCUUCCCAAUGGUUGCUACUAGUGCCUCGCUAGUGGUACUGCCCGGCAUACUUUCCCCACUUAGCACUUUUACUAAAGCAUCCUUGUUACUGUCGGAGCUCAUCAACAAAUCCAUAAUUGAUAUGCGGGCAGGGGUCUUUCUCAACUGUUCUUCUAUGAAAUUUUCUUUAAUCGGCAUCCUCAUUCAAAACUCUACUGCCUCCACGUUUGUUGUGUUUCUCCUCUGAUUUUGCUCUCUACUCAUGUUCCCUCAAUUCACCUCUUCUGGAGCGUAACACCUUCCUGACCUAGUCAUUAUGUGAGCAGUUGCGCUGAAUGUUAUUUUUCCUUUCCCUUUGACUGAUGAGUCCAUGAAACUGCCUUAUAUACUCGACUCCCUUCAUAUCUAACAGUGGUGGUGGAUCGUUGUUGAUUUGUCUGAACUAUCAUAGGAGGUUUCAACUUCAUAGUAAUCAAUGGAGUUACCCAAGGGAGUGUUCUUGCAGCUUCAUCAUUCCCAAUAGUGACAAUGCUCCCUUUUAAGUAAUAGUCCCCGUCUAAUACAAUUAUGUUGGCUCCUUAGUUUCUGUGGUUUGGUUGUGGGUUACUAUUUACACACUGGAUAGCUCCACUUUUAAUCAAUAGUUUGAUCUUAUUCUUCAAUCUAUAACAAUCCUUUGUGUCAUGCCUAGGAACACCUUAAUGAUAGGCGCAAUGCUUGCUUCCAUCAAAAUAUUUGUAGGGUUGGUCGAGGAUUCUUCCUUCCACAUGGUAUAUCAUUUUGUCUCUUCUUAAUCGUUCGAACUAUUGGGCUAAAGGCUCAGAAAUUAGGGUGAAGUUUCUUGGAUUCCUUUCUUCAAUGUUUGGACGUGACCUGGGUACAUAGGCAUGUCUGCUUUUAUGGGUGGUGGUUCGAACUAUAUGGUCGUGGUGGGUUUGGAUGUAUAUUGGCUCGGGGUGGGUUAUAAUGGGGUUGACCAUUGUAGAAUAGUUGGGUAUUAUAUACUGGGGUAUAAGGGAGGAUGGGUAUUUGUGGGGUAGGAGUUGGUUCGACAAGGAGGACUUGACUGAUAGUAGGGGGAAAUCGCCGUUACUUCCUCUUUCCUCUUCUUCCCACUUCCGAUUGAAUUGGAUUGUAUAGCCUUGCUAGUAGCUUGUAGCACGAUCAUUGACUCUAUCUUUCUUGACUUGAUACAUUCAUCCAAGAAAACUCCCAUUUUAACCAGGUCGAGAAAUUUCUUACUCAUCAUACCCAUCAUCUUUUUGAAAUAAAUUCCCUUUUGCGCACGGAUAAAGUAAUUAGUUUUCUCAUUAUCAUCCAACGGUGGUUGAGUCCUAGAAGCUUUUGAUCUCUAACGGCGAGCAUAUUCUUGAAAUGGUUCAAAGAGCCUCUUCCACAUAUUCACCAAAGUGAAUCCGUUCGGAGUGACCUCAGUGUUGAAUCUGAAGCGAUUCAUAAAAUUUUCAGCCAUGUCCUACCACUCCCUCAAAUUCCUAGUGUCUUGUCUGGUAUACCAAACAAGCGCUUCUCUAGUCAGACUCCUUAUAAAUAGUUUCAUUCUUAGCUUUUUAUUUCUCCCUAAUCCGACCAACUUGUCACGGUAUGCCCUUAAAAGAGCGUGUGGGUCGCCUGUUCCGUAAACAAUGUCGAACUUUGGAGGUUUGUACCCUGCAGGCAUAUCAACAUCGGGAUGUAUGCAAUUCUUCAUAAUCCAAGCUCUCUCUCCCUCGAGCAACUUGGAGAUUCUUCAUCUGUUUCCUCAAUACUCGUAGUUUUUCUGAUACUGACUCCUCUUCCUUGUAUUUUGCUUCUUUCUCUAUCUCAGCAUAUUGGUGUAUCUCAUAAGGCACUCUGACCGUGAUGGGCGCAGUAAAGGUAGGCUCAUGACCGGCAUAUACAGGUGGAAUGUACCGCUCAUGUGUGGCGUUGUGUGCCGCAGGUAUAUACUGUGUGUGAUUGUUGGUAAAAGUGACGUUGUCACGAGGAGGGGUGUGAACCAAAUUGGUGGUAGCUGGUGGAUUUUAUGGUUCUUGGACAUAGUUUGGAGCAUAGGGUGUGUGUAUAGGAGGGUUUGGUAAAUUUGCAGGGGUUACUGGUGGUAUAACUUGAGUUGUGGGAUUUGCGGUGAUAGUAGUUAGGGUAUUGGUUGUUUGUCAGAUAGAUGAAGGGAAAUGGUCAGGGAUUGAAUCUAGGGAAGGGAAGCAGGGUGGUUGCAGAAGCAUUUUCACGACCAAAUGUGCUAGCUCCCAGAUUUGUUUUUCCAGUAUCAUAGGAAUGAGGGUGAGUUGCAGAUUUCCCAGGAAGGUUGCCAAAACUAGGGACAGCAGGUUGAUAUUGAUUCGUCCCUUUCUUUGUGAGAAAACCAACACUCCCAACAAUGCUAGAGAAACGUUUAAGGGGUGGAGGCUCUCCCAUGCUUCUUGAUCACACUGGAAUUAUUCAAGAUGACACUCAUAGCUCUCCCGAUGUUCUAUUUUGUCAAAUAGCUGGCCUAGCUCAUCCAUCCAUCUUUGACGUUUCUCAAGUAUUUGUUUCUUGUCCGACCCAAUACAUGGAGUAACCUAUGGUCUGGCAUGCCGACUAGUUGUAUUGGUUUCCUUCCGACGAAUGGUAACUCCAUGAAGUUGUUAACCCCCUCCAGUGUAGGCAUCAACACACAAUCAACAAAUUUGAAGACUUGUUUGGAUGGGUCCAAAAUCACUAUUAGCAGCCUAGUGAGGACUUUUUCGGUUCAAGUGUUCAUCAAGGCAAUUAGUGCUUCCAGGUCUGUUUUGUUCUCACUCACGUGCUCCCGUCGAAUUUUCCUCCACCACUACUUCAACAUGUGAGGUCAACCAACGACCAUGUUAACCUCGGGGACGUUGCAGCUGAUUUCCAUGUAAAGAGGUAAAAGGUUUGGUACAUGUUGACUCAGAUAUUUAAUGUAUUAUCUGGAUUGGUUCGUCGUUCCACAGAGAGUAGGUCGUUGGGUGCAUAAGCCGUUGACAUUAAGGUGGCAUUCCUAAUUGUGAGUCAAUACCAAGGACUGACCCACCUAAUGUUUAUGCAACAUGACCUAUGUUUGCUAAGAGUAGAGUAUUUCCUAAUUUUGGAGUUGGACUAAAUAACUACAAGAUGUUAUGUCAGUUGGCCUGACAAAGUCGUUCUCUAAAACUGGAGAGUUUUGAAAUAAGGUUUGGAGGGGUGUAAAAGACAAUCCUCGCAUGCCAUUUGUCUGUGAUUGUGUACAUCCAAGACUCGAUAGGAAAGAUGUGAUGAUAGUGUAUAAAGUAGUAACAGAUAAUUGUGGUAAAGUAGUAAUAUAUGCAAACAAGUAAGGAUGUAUAAGCAUGUUGAAAGUGUAAGAAAGUAGAAUGAAGCGAAUAAACAUGUAUUUGAAGGUUAAGCAUAAUUAAACCAGAAUAUAACAAAACAUCCUCAAAGUUCAAGUCUAACCUAAGUCUGCUAAGGUCAGAACCUAAGUAUAAAAAUUCCCAGCAGAGUUGUCAUGUUAUAGAACCUUAUUUUGACCUAGUCAAAUUAAAAUUCAACUAAUGGUCCAUCUGAAGUUGAUUAAAGAAAAGUCGCCACCUAAUAUUUUAAGGUAUAGUAGGGUACCUAUGGGUUUGUUAAAUUAUUAUCUUAAUGGUCUACUAACCGGUGAUAUUUGUAUUAGGGUUCUAGUUAUUCUAAGGGCAAGGAAUUAGUCACCCCUCAAAAUCUACCUGAGGUAGCUCCUUAAGCUUAGACUAAGUUCGAGGAAAAAUGCCUAUAUUCUGCUUAGUCCUGUUUUUAAAGCCUAUAAAAAUGUUCUAAGCUUUAGCUAAAAGUCGGCUACUUGAGAAAAGGUGGUGUAUGUGCUUUGAAAAGAAACUAUAUAUUUUUGCGAUAAUCUUGAAAAGAAAUCGCCCUUUAAUAUAUGUACACUUAUUAAGUUGAAAACUAUAUACACUUUAUUUUCUGAAUAAUCUUGUAAGAACUCUUUUGAUUAAAAGAAGUGGUAUGUUUUAGGGAAAAUGUCACUUAGUAAAUAAAGGACUACUUGAAAUUACGCCUUAAAUUGGAAUGGGUAAACCUUUAUUUGGAAAUCAAGUUUAACCGGAACCACAUACUUUGAAAUUCGUUGACGUCCAUCAGUUCAUAAGCAUUCAUUGUGUUUGAUUUUAGUUCUUGAAAAUGGCUUCGUAAUUAUUUUUUGUAAUUCUGAUUUUUUUCAAGAGAAUUCGUUUUGCUUUUUAAUCUGUCAAAGUCCAACCUUACUGGAAACGGUUAGUGAUAACAAGAUAAGAUCUUUCAUUUGUUAAUAAUAUAAAUAAGUGAGAAAAAAUUAUAGGUGUUUAAAUAGCAGAAUUUCUGAAUUUUUAUUCUUUUACCUAUGAGCUUUGGUUUGCCUAUGUUCCUACAAGAAUAAUAAAAUAUCCAACACAUUCAACAUGGUUAGUUUCUCUAAAGUAUAUAUAUACAUAGAGGCGGUAAAAAAUAACAAGUGAAAUUAAAGGAAGGGGAAUGGAGAACUGGACUCUCGCUAUGGGCUAGCAAAUGUUCAAGCCCAACAUAAUGUGCAUGAACAACAGACUCGACAGGAAUGCGAUGACCCGAAUCUGAAAGUGGACUUGAGCUCCAAAUGGGCUCGGCAGGCCCAAAUUGAAUUCAUGCAUACAAAGAAAAGAAAAUUAUAACGUAUAUCAAUUUCAAAAGCUAAGCAAGACAAUGAUUAUACGAAAUGGUAAUAGAGAACUAAAAAAUGUAGUGAGGCAGAUUUUAUUUAUGCCAAUUCUAUGAAGACUCAUAAGAGUUAGUGACUAAAAGCUUGGUGUAAAUCCUCAUUUAUGGAUAUAAUCCCUCAUUUGAGCCCUUGGCAUUUCAUAGUUCACGAGAGUCUCACGGACCCCAAGCAGUACUUGUGUCAAGGAGAGAGAUCAUAACCCAAAUGAGCUUUCACAUCCAAAUACCCAUAACCACCCACUAUUAAUCUUCCUCAGAGGUUGAAAUACAAACUAAAGAAUCAACAGAGUAACUUUAUACUGCUAAUAUAUAAACAGAAGGUACAAGAGUCAUGGUAAACCCUUUAAAGGUUCAAACACACAAAAAACUCAACAGCUUCGAACAAAUGGGAUGUUGUAAUUCAUUAUCAAAGCACAAAAACAGCCAAGGGCACAAUAUUGACUUAAGAGGGAUCAUAUCAGAGUCAUGAGAUCACAUUGAAGACACAGUCAAGCAAGAAAACAAAGUGCAGGCAAGAGACAUGUUUCAUUUCUCAUAGAUUCUAGACUCAUAUGUGUUACAGUCAAGUAUCCCACAGAGAUGAGCAUAAGGGUAUGUUCUAUUGGCUUCACUGUAGGUUUAAUCUUUCAUAAAUCUUCUAAGUGUGUUCAGAUCAAAGGUAUUGUUCACAGGUGUUUCUAAAGUCUUAGUAUAGUUAACAACAAGCCUAUACCUUAUCAUUUUGACACCUAAAC